rnacentral:rRNA from 1 species
GAUGAACGCUGGCGGCGUGCCUAAUACAUGCAAGUCGAGCGAACGGACGAGAAGCUUGCUUCUCUGAUGUUAGCGGCGGACGGGUGAGUAACACGUGGAUAACCUACCUAUAAGACUGGGAUAACUUCGGGAAACCGUAGCUAAUACCGGAUAAUAUUUUGAACCGCAUGGUUCAAAAGUGAAAGACGUUCUUUCUGUCUCUUAUAGAUGGAUCCGCGCUGCAUUAGCUAGUUGGUAAGGUAACGGCUUACCAAGGCAACGAUGCAUAGCCGACCUGAGAGGGUGAUCGGCCACACUGGAACUGAGACACGGUCCAGACUCCUACGGGAGGCAGCAGUAGGGAAUCUUCCGCAAUGGGCGAAAGCAUGACGGAGCAACGCCGCGUGAGUGAUGAAGGUCUUCGGAUCGUAAAACUCUGUUAUUAGGGAAGAACAUAUGUGUAAGUAACUGUGCACAUCUUGACGGUACCUAAUCAGAAAGCAACGGCUAACUACGUG